ACGAACGCUGGCGGCGUGCCUAAUACAUGCAAGUCGAACGCUUCUUUUUCCACCGGAGCUUGCUCCACCGGAAAAAGAGGAGUGGCGAACGGGUGAGUAACACGUGGGUAACCUGCCCAUCAGAAGGGGAUAACACUUGGAAACAGGUGCUAAUACCGUAUAACAAUCGAAACCGCAUGGUUUUGAUUUGAAAGGCGCUUUCGGGUGUCGCUGAUGGAUGGACCCGCGGUGCAUUAGCUAGUUGGUGAGGUAACGGCUCACCAAGGCGACGAUGCAUAGCCGACCUGAGAGGGUGAUCGGCCACAUUGGGACUGAGACACGGCCCAAACUCCUACGGGAGGCAGCAGUAGGGAAUCUUCGGCAAUGGACGAAAGUCUGACCGAGCAACGCCGCGUGAGUGAAGAAGGUUUUCGGAUCGUAAAACUCUGUUGUUAGAGAAGAACAAGGAUGAGAGUAACUGUUCAUCCCUUGACGGUAUCUAACCAGAAAGCCACGGCUAACUACGUGCCAGCAGCCGCGGUAAUACGUAGGUGGCAAGCGUUGUCCGGAUUUAUUGGGCGUAAAGCGAGCGCAGGCGGUUUCUUAAGUCUGAUGUGAAAGCCCCCGGCUCAACCGGGGAGGGUCAUUGGAAACUGGGAGACUUGAGUGCAGAAGAGGAGAGUGGAAUUCCAUGUGUAGCGGUGAAAUGCGUAGAUAUAUGGAGGAACACCAGUGGCGAAGGCGGCUCUCUGGUCUGUAACUGACGCUGAGGCUCGAAAGCGUGGGGAGCAAACAGGAUUAGAUACCCUGGUAGUCCACGCCGUAAACGAUGAGUGCUAAGUGUUGGAGGGUUUCCGCCCUUCAGUGCUGCAGCUAACGCAUUAAGCACUCCGCUUGGGGAGUACGACCGCAAGGUUGAAACUCAAAGGAAUUGACGGGGGCCCGCACAAGCGGUGGAGCAUGUGGUUUAAUUCGAAGCAACGCGAAGAACCUUACCAGGUCUUGACAUCCUUUGACCACUCUAGAGAUAGAGCUUCCCCUUCGGGGGCAAAGUGACAGGUGGUGCAUGGUUGUCGUCAGCUCGUGUCGUGAGAUGUUGGGUUAAGUCCCGCAACGAGCGCAACCCUUAUUGUUAGUUGCCAUCAUUUAGUUGGGCACUCUAGCAAGACUGCCGGUGACAAACCGGAGGAAGGUGGGGAUGACGUCAAAUCAUCAUGCCCCUUAUGACCUGGGCUACACACGUGCUACAAUGGGAAGUACAACGAGUCGCAAAGUCGCGAGGCUAAGCUAAUCUCUUAAAGCUUCUCUCAGUUCGGAUUGUAGGCUGCAACUCGCCUACAUGAAGCCGGAAUCGCUAGUAAUCGCGGAUCAGCACGCCGCGGUGAAUACGUUCCCGGGCCUUGUACACACCGCCCGUCACACCACGAGAGUUUGUAACACCCGAAGUCGGUGAGGUAACCUUUUGGAGCCAGCCGCCUAAGGUGGGAUAGAUGAUUGGGGUG
rnacentral:rRNA from 1 species